AGGAAGUGAUUAUGGAUCGGGCCU
rnacentral:siRNA from 1 species